GUGCCAGCCGCCGCGGUAAUACCGGCAGCCCGAGUGAUGGCCGAUCUUAUUGGGCCUAAAGCGUCCGUAGCUGGCCGCGCAAGUCCAUCGGGAAAUCCACCCGCCCAACGGGUGGCCGUCCGGUGGAAACUGCACGGCUUGGGACCGGAAGGCGCGACGGGUACGUCCGGGGUAGGAGUGAAAUCCCGUAAUCCUGGACGGACCGCCGAUGGCGAAAGCACGUCGCGAGAACGGAUCCGACAGUGAGGGACGAAAGCUAGGGUCUCGAACCGGAUUAGAUACCCCAGUAGUCC
rnacentral:rRNA from 1 species